UACAGAGGUCCCGAGCGUUGUUCGGAUUUAUUGGGCGUAAAGGGUGCGUAGGCGGCGGAGUAAGUUGGGUGUGAAAUCCCGGGGCUCAACCUCGGAAUUGCAUUCAAUACUGCUCCGCUAGAGUACUGGAGAGGAGGCUGGAAUUUACGGUGUAGCAGUGAAAUGCGUAGAUAUCGUAAGGAAGGCCGGUGGCGAAAGCGAGCCUCUGGACAGUUACUGACGCUGAUGCACGAAGGCCAGGGGAGCAAACGGG
rnacentral:rRNA from 1 species